UCUCUAUCUCUCUCAGUCUCUCUCCUUCCAUCUUCCCUCUUCCAUUCAUGGGAGUCCCUUCUCCGGUUUCCCGGGUUGUGACGGAAACAACCAGCGAACGAAAACCCAUCCCAAUUCCCUCGUCACUCUCGUAUCUCUCAUUCACACAUCGCCCUCUUCCCAAGUCCCAACUCAAAACCCUAAUGCGAGAGCAGACGACGUCACGGCGGACGAUCACCACGACUCCUUGAUGAUGGAGUGACAGACACAACCAGCAUCCUCUUCUCCUUCUCUCACGGUGGCAGAUGGCAUAUGAGUUGCAUAGCAUGUUAACUGAUGUUGUUAGCUUGAUGACAUGGGAGAAGGUAUGCCAAUAUAUGGAGGAGGGAACGACAACGACUCAUUUCUUACCAAAGUUGUCAGCCCAUUUUACCGGGUUAUAUCUGAGGAAGCUGAGAAAAGCAAAAAUGGAACUGCUGAUCAUUCUAAAUGGAGAAACUAUGAUGAUUUGAACGAGUACUUCUGGUGAGACAGAAGUUCACUUACUCCUAAUUACUAAUGCAUUCUUAACUACCAUUGGGCUUGAACAAUUUUUGUGAUUAUAUGCAUGCAGGU